AGAGUUUGAUCCUGGCUCAGGAUUAACGCUGGCGGUGUGUCUAAUACAUGCAAGUCGAACGGGAAUCUUCGGAUUCUAGUGGCGGACGAGCGAGUAACACGUUGGAACCUGCCCCGAACUCAGGGAUAAGCACUGGAAACGGUGUCUAAUACCGGAUAGUCCCGCAAGGGUAAAGAUUUUUCGGUUCGGGAGGGGCCUGCGUCCUAUCAGCUUGUUGGUAAGGUAACGGCUUACCAAGGCUAUGACGGGUAACUGGUCUGAGAGGAUGAUCAGUCGCGAUGGAACUGAGACACGGUCCAUACUCCUACGGGAGGCAGCAGUAGGGAAUAUUCCACAAUGGGCGAAAGCCUGAUGGAGCAACACCGCGUGGUCGAUGAAGCAUUUCGGUGUGUAAAGACCUUUUCUGAGGGAAGAAUUAUGACGGUACCUUAGGAAUAAGCACCGGCUAACUCCGUGCCAGCAGCCGCGGUAAUACGGAGGGUGCAAGCGUUAUCCGGAAUUAUUGGGCGUAAAGCGUCUGUAGGCGGACAAUUAAGUGUAAUAUUAAAGACGGCAGCUCAACUGUCGCGUUGUAUCACAAACUGAUUGUCUAGAGGCUUGGAGAGGUUAGUAGAAUUCUACAUGUAGGGGUUAAAUCCGUAGAUAUGUAGAGGAAUACCAAAAGCGAAAGCAGCUAACUGGACAAGUUCUGACGCUCAGAGACGAAAGCGUGGGGAGCAACAGGAUUAGAUACCCUGUAGUCCACGCCGUAAACGAUGGAUACUCGGUGUCAGGUUACUCAAUCGACCUGGUGCCUAAGCUAACGCGUUAAGUAUCCCGCCUGGGGAGUACGGUCGCAAGAUUAAAACUCAAAGGAAUAGACGGGGACCCACACAAGCGGUGGAGCAUCUUGUUUAAUUCGAUAAUAAGCGGGGAACCUUACCUAGGCUUGACAUCCCACAGAAUUUUCUGGAAACAGAAAAGUGCCUUUUGGAACUGUGGUGUCAGGCGCCGCAUGGUCGUCGUCAGCUCGUGCCUUGAGGUGUUCGGUUAAGUCCGUAAACGAGCGCAACCCUAGUCGCAUGUUGUAUUUUCUCAUGCGAGACUGCCGGUUACAAAUCGGAGGAAGGUUAGGUCGAAGUCAGAUCAGCAUGGCCCUUAUGCCUAGGGCUACAAAGGUGCUACAAUGGUAUGUACAGCGGGCAGCGAAGGAGUGAUCCUAAGCCAAUCCCUUAAAGCAUAUCUAAGUUCGGAUUGUAGUCUGCAACUCGACUACAUGAAGUUGGAAUCGCUAGUAACCGCAUAUCAGCCAUGGUGCGGUGAAAUUUGUUCCUGGGUCUUGUACUCACCGCCCGUCAAAGUGAUGAAAGGUGGGGGCGCCCAAAAGUCCCUCGAUUUCUGAGGGCCUAAGGUGAAAACCAACUGAUUGGCACUAAAGUCGUAACAAGGUAACC
rnacentral:rRNA from 1 species